CCUACGGGAGGCAGCAGUGGGGGAUAUUGCACAAUGGGGGCAACCCUGAUGCAGCGACGCCGCGUGAGCGAUGGAGUACUUCGGUAUGUAAAGCUCUGUCAGCAGGGAAGAGAAUGACGGUACCUGACCAAGAAGCCCCGGCUAAAUACGUGCCAGCAGCCGCGGUAAUACGUAGGGGGCAAGCGUUAUCCGGAUUUACUGGGUGUAAAGGGAGCGUAGACGGCAGCGCAAGUCUGGAGUGAAAUCCCAUGGCUUAACCAUGGAACUGCUUUGGAAACUGUGCAGCUGGAGUGCAGGAGAGGUAAGCGGAAUUCCUAGUGUAGCGGUGAAAUGCGUAGAUAUUAGGAGGAACACCAGUGGCGAAGGCGGCCUGCUGGACGACAACUGACGGUGAGGCGCGAAAGCGUGGGGAGCAAACAGGAUUAGAUACCCGUGUAGUC
rnacentral:rRNA from 1 species